rnacentral:rRNA from 1 species
GACGAACGCUGGCGGCGUGCUUAACACAUGCAAGUCGAACGAAGUGGCGAACGGGUGAGUAACGCGUAAUCAACCUGCCCGUCAGAGGGGGACAGCAGGUGGAACCGUCUGCGAAUACCGCAUACUGAAGGAGGGGAUGGCGUCAGAGUAGCUAGUGGGAGGGGUAACGGCCAACCAAGGCGAUGAUCAGUAGCCGGUCUGAGAGGAUGAACGGCAACAUUGGGACUGAGACACGGGCCAGACUCCUACGGGAGGCAGCAGUGGGGAAUCUUCGGCAAUGGAGGAAAGUCUGACGGAGCAACGCCGCGUGAGUGAUGAAGGCCUUCGGGUUGGAAAGCGAUGUUAAUCGGGACGCGGUACCGAACUAGAAAGCCACGGCUAACUACGUGCCAGCAGCCGCGGUAAUUC